CAUGCCUUGGGAGCCCUUCUUCCUAUGCUGGAGAAAGUAUGUGGAGAGACUACAUAAAGAUGCCUGAGAAGCCCUGGCUAUUCCAGCCCUUAGCUAUCCAAGACUUCUUAGCCUGGGAACUGGAUAUAUGAGUCAAGAAGCCUUUUCAAUGGCACUAGACACCAUCUGAUUGUAGCUUCAUGACAGACCCUGAGCCAGAACCACUCAGCCAAGCUGUUCCUGCAUUCCUGACCCGUUGAAAUCAUGAGAGAUAAUCAACAAUCAUUAUUCCCUAAGCCAUUCUGGAGGCUUAGAAGUCCAAGAUCAAGUUGCUGGCUGAUUUGAUUCCUGGAGGCAGAGGUUGCACAUGAGCCAAGAUUGCAUCAUUGCACUCCAGCCUGGGCAACAAGAGCAAAACCCCAUCUCAAAAAAAAAAAAAGAAGAAAGAAAAUAAGCCUUUGGACUUUUAAACCACUAUAAGAGAGCAGGCUGAGAAAACUACUUAGUUGCAAACACUGGCUGUUUUUUAUGAAAAAAGAAAAGAUGACUCAGCUUCUGCUUCUGAGCCCAGAAAUUGGAGCCAAGAGCCAUAGAGAACCAUUCUCAGACAGUAGGACUGAGUUCUAACCAAGAAACUACCUGCAUUCCCAGCAGAAUUUCAGAAUUGCUGAAGCCCCCUGUGUACCUCCCAUUUAUCUUUUUUCUUCCUUUUUCCAGGAUGAUCUAUAAUGCUUAUCCUAUGUCUGCCCUAUUAUUGUAUAUUAGUUAGAGGGAAAAGAAUAUAUUUCUUUUUCAUGGGUCUAUAGAUCAAGAGGAACUAUAAGGAGGUGCUAUAUUUGAGAUAUUUACCCAAGGAGUCUCAUCUGAACCUGGACCCAAUUAGAUGACAAGACCUGGGAGUUCAAACUGAUGCUAUAAUAUGAUGAGACUUUUGUGGACCUUGGGAAGGGACAAGUGUAUGUCCAAUAGGAAAGCUAUGAAUCAUCAAGCCUCCUUAAAUAAAGGAGUCAA